rnacentral:miRNA from 1 species
GGGGGGUGUGUGUGUGUGUGUGUGUGUGUGUGUGUGUGUGUGUGUGUGUGCCCGCGCGCGCGCACAUGCACACGCAGAC